GAUUAUGGCUCAGGACGAACGCUGGCGGCGUGCUUAACACAUGCAAGUCGAGCGAUGAAGCUUCUUCGGAAGUGGAUUAGCGGCGGACGGGUGAGUAACGCGUGGGUAACCUGCCUCAUAGAGGGGAAUAGCCUUCCGAAAGGAAGAUUAAUACCGCAUAAGAUUGUAAUAUCGCAUGAUAUAGCAAUUAAAGGAGUAAUCCGCUAUGAGAUGGACCCGCGUCGCAUUAGCUAGUUGGUGAGGUAACGGCUCACCAAGGCGACGAUGCGUAGCCGACCUGAGAGGGUGAUCGGCCACAUUGGGACUGAGACACGGCCCAGACUCCUACGGGGGGCAGCAGUGGGGAAUAUUGCACAAUGGGGGAAACCCUGAUGCAAGCAACGCCGCGUGAGUGAUGACGGUCUUCGGAUUGUAAAGCUCUGUCUUCAGGGACGAUAAUGACGGUACCUGAGGAGGAAGCCACGGCUAACUACGUGCCAGCCGCGGC
rnacentral:rRNA from 1 species